AGCUUUAUAGUCAAUAAUGAUAUUAGACUGCAAUUCUAAAGGAGUAAAUAUUUUACUAAGGCUU
rnacentral:tRNA from 1 species